GGUAACAGUACAGUCCAGCUUUCCAUGCGGAGUUUCAUAUGUUUGCUCAGCUCCUGUGUUUACUGCUUCUAUCUACGUUUGUGCCUUGGAGAGCAUCGUCUUUUUACAAAGAAGGGUUGAAUUCUCAAAGUUCUUCACUAAAGUUCCUCAACUUGGACCGGGACUCUGUAUUUCUUUGGGAUUCUUCAUGUUGGCCAUCUGUCGGCCUGUCUAUACAUGGACACAAACACUGUAGCCUCCAAGAACAACAGUCGCUCACUAACGGCUCCAGUGACUCAUGACCACUGAACAAUGAAGUCGAGACUAGCGCCCCCCCCGACCACCGUCGCUGCUGCACAAAUGCAGAUCAACAGCUCCGAUGGCGACGGGCGCAGCCAAACAUCGGCACACAAAAGAGCCACUCAUAUCUAUAGCUCUGACAACCACUCCUAGACCAGUGGUCCUCAACCUUUUUGGGGUCCUGGACCCCCUGCGUAUUUCUGAUCUACCCUGAGGACCCCUCCACCUGAUCUUGGGGGAGGGGGGCUGCAAUUUGAUAGAAACAGUAGAAACUGCAUUUUAAAUUGCAUUAUAGCAUUUAUUCACUCUUUGGGGCAAAAAUAAGAGCUUUCAGUUGUAACUUAGAUAUAGUUAACAAAACAGAAUU